UACGUAGGUGGCAAGCGUUGUCCGGAUUUACUGGGCGUAAAGAGCGCGCAGGCGGUCGUUCAAGUCGCGUGUGAAAGCCCCCGGCUCAACUGGGGAGGGUCAUUCGAUACUGAUCGACUGGAAGGCAGGAGAGGGAAGUGGAAUUCCCGGUGUAGUGGUGAAAUGCGUAGAUAUCGGGAGGAACACCAGUGGCGAAGGCGACUUCCUGGCCUGUUCUUGACGCUGAGGCGCGAAAGCUAGGGGAGCAAACGGG
rnacentral:rRNA from 1 species